GCAGUUGAACGUGAAGCCUAGUACUUAGUAUUGGGUGGAAAGUGGCGAACGGGUGAGUAACACGUUGGUGACCUGUCCCGAGGAGGGGGAUAACCGUGGGAAACCACGGCUAAUACCCCGGAUGUCUAGGUGGUUAGAGGGCCUAGACUAAAGCUCCGGCGCCUUGGGAGGGGCCUGCGGGCUAUCAGCUAGUUGGUGGGGUAACGGCCUACCAAGGCUAAGACGGCUAGGGGGCGUGAGAGCGCGACCCCCCACAAUGGAACUGAGACACGGUCCAUACUCCUACGGGAGGCAGCAGUGAGGAAUAUUGCGCAAUGGGGGCAACCCUGACGCAGCAACGCCGCGUGGACGAUGAAGGCCUUCGGGUUGUAAAGUCCUUUUCUGAGGGGCGAUAAUGACGGUACCUCAGGAAUAAGUCCCGGCUAACUACGUGCCAGCAGCCGCGGUAAAACGUAGGGGGCGAGCGUUAUCCGGAUUUACUGGGCGUAAAGCGCACGUAGGCGGCGCCGUAAGUUGGACGUGAAAGCUCUCGGCUCAACUGAGAGAGGUCGUUCAAUACUGCGGUGAUUGAGGUUGGAAGAGGAGAGUGGAAUUCCCGGUGUAGUGGUGGAAUGCGUAGAUAUCGGGAGGAACACCAGUGGCGAAGGCGGCUCUCUGGUCCACACCUGACGCUGAGGUGCGAAAGCGUGGGGAGCGAACGGGAUUAGAUACCCCGGUAGUCCACGCCGUAAACGAUGGAUACUAGGUGUAGGAGGUUAUUUACCC
rnacentral:rRNA from 1 species